rnacentral:rRNA from 1 species
UACCUACGGGAGGCAGCAGUGAGGAAUAUUGGUCAAUGGUCGGGAGACUGAACCAGCCAAGCCGCGUGAGGGAGGAAGGUACAGAGUAUCGUAAACCUCUUUUGUCAGGGAACAAAGACUGGGACGCGUCCCCGGAUGAGUGUACCUGAAGAAAAAGCAUCGGCUAACUCCGUGCCAGCAGCCGCGGUAAUACGUAGGGAGCAAGCGUUAUCCGGAAUUAUUGGGUGUAAAGGGUGCGUAGACGGGACAGCAAGUUAGUUGUGAAAGCCCUCGGCUUAACUGAGGAACUGCAACUAAAACUAUUG